GGGCUCAGGGCAGGAAGGGCCUGCUGGCCAGAUAAACAAAAGGAAUAAAAUGUUCCUCUGACCCAUGCCUGAAUGUUCUUUAUGCCCCACUGCCCGGAUCAUGAUGGCUAGGAGUCCCCUCCCCACUUGCUCGUGGGAGUUCCAGCCUGUUCCAGAGAGUGCCUGCUAUGUGCUAGACUGAUGUGAGGGGCUAGCAGUACCAGGGUAGAUGAAAGUCCAGUCCUUGCCCUCACCUCUCAUUGAUCUUGGAGGUUAGUGGGGCUUUAAUACCAAGGUAGGGCAUCUGGAUGCAAUUCAAAGUGCCCUGGGAGGCAUUCGAACCACUCGGGAGACUUUCUGUGGCAGGUUACAGGGAACCUAAUGGACGCCGGCUUGAAUAAUAAAGAGGGUUUAUUGGCACACCAUAACUAGAAGGGUGAAAGGUAGAGAGUCCUCAGAUGUGGUGCAGCCGAGGCUCCAACUCUGUCUCUGUGAUCCCUUUGGCUCCGUGCUCCUCUCGUGAAGCUCAGUCCCUCCCUCCCAAGGUGGCUUCCCGCAGGCACGGAGGCUGUGCUUUUUCACUCAUGUUCUGGAGUAAGAAAGAGACAGUGACAGAGACAGAGAUAGAGACAGGGACGGAGACAGAGAGCCCCAGAAUGAAAACAGAACAUCAUUUCUGAACUUCUGACUAAUGGCCUCUCCCAACACCUUGCUCAAUCUCUGCAGCGAUGAGAAUGCAGUGCCUAGAUUACCAAUUCCUAUAGCAGGGCUCUUGGGACUCCCCAGAUUAGUUAACUAGGCUCACCAAACCACGGGAUUGCUGGCAGGAUGGAUGCUGGUAAGUAGCCACAACCCCUGUUACGGUGGGAAGAUUUCAAGCAGAUUUCAGGAAGGUUGACAUAACUGGUUUGCAUUUUUAAAGAUCUCUCUGCAUUGGAGGAGGGAAAAAGAGGAAGCUGGGAGAACCAUUUGGAGCUACUCCAAAGAGAGAUGAUGGUGGCUGGGCCUGGGAGGAGGGAGGCAGGUGAGAUAGGGCAGAAAGGACAGUCUUGAACCUGGUCGCUUAGCAGUUGAGUGGCAGUGACACGGCUCUUAACUUCUCUACAUCAUUUUCCAAAUCCAUAGUAUGGUUGUAUCAAUUCUUAGCUCUCAGGAUUAUAGAGAUACAUUAAGUGUACCUACCACAGUGAAGGUCCCCAAUAAUUGGCAUUAUUAGUAUUAACACCCAAACUCCUUAUGUGACAUGCAAGUCCCUUUGUGUUCUGGACUCGAAUAACUCUGGGUAGAAGAGAAGGGGAGGGUCUCCCAUGUUCAGCCGAUACAUGUGCUUUUCCCAUCCUGUGGUGGAACCUUCCAAAAUGGGAAAAAGUUGUCCUAUAGCCAGUCAUGAAACUUCUUCUUUUGGUCCCAGGGGAUUUUUGCCCCUAGUCCCAUCAUUCAGCAUCCAUAUCUUGACCAGCACAGAGAGCAGUUUGUCAUGUCUUCAGUCUGCAAAUAUUGACAAAAGAAUGAGAGUUGGCCCAAUGCACUUUAAUGAGUAAGAAACAAACAAGCUUGCUCAAAUUUCCAGGAAUUUUCUCCCGAACCGAGUUGCAAUGUGGUUUUUGCCACUCCCCAAAACCAAUGUCCUAAGCUCAGGAAAGCCCCCUGUUAUUGCUGUCACUCCAAAAUGUUUUCACCAAAAUCAGUGGGUUGAGUGAUUUCCUUGAGAAUAAUAACUUUGCACAAUACAGACAGAGCCUCAGUCUGCAAUGGAGAUAGGCAUUCCUGGCAGAAAGACCAUAGAAGUUAUACCAAUUCGGAAGGAUUUAAGUGGAAUGAUACAACACAGACUAAAGAAGGUUGAUGCCUUGGUAUCUUUGGGAGUACUCAUGCUGACCAUCGGCAUCCACCUCCAUCUGUCAAACCCCUCCCCGCACCGUCCUCGCUGGGAGUUUAACUAGGUCAACUGCCACCUUCCGGAGGAAGCGUCCUGGGUGCACCCGCUUCCCCAACAGAAUCCAUAGCACCGUUGCUUUCCUAUUCUUGCCUGUUCACAAGUCUGUUUUGUCCACUGGCCUGGAAGCUCCUGGAGGGCACAGGCAGUGUUGUCAUCCCUGAGAUAUUCCCAGUGCCUAGCCAAGGACCGUGGACUUGUUACAUAUCGGAUGAAGGAGUGAUUGCAGGAAGAUCAUGGUCACACCAUGAUAGAACAACAACCUGUUUGUUUUGGUGGAAUGCGUGAGUGGAGGCUCUGUUGGCGUCCAUUCUGCCAACUGCUUUGCCCUUCCUUGUGCUGAGUGCUGUUCCUUCUCUUGUCCUGAGAAAUCGUGCUGUCUGUCUGCGGCCCCACCUCCCCUGGGAGCCAGCACCGCAGGGUCGCCUUGGUACGUGCUCAGCACUGUUCUUCCUUAGCUGCUGUUCGCUCGGUUCUUUUGCACAAAUUACAUGUUUCUUCCAGCUUUAAUCAACACAACCUUGAAUCCUCAUCAGACUCUCUGCCCUCUCUCCAACCAGUGCUUAAAGGACACUCUUCCCCUCAGCAGAGAUGGUAUAAUUUUCAUAAACAUGGGUCAUUUCCCCCUUGCAUCAAUGUCAGAUACGAAACCACCACUUAACAAGACGUACCAGAAACGCAGAAUGUCUGAACAAAGGCUGGGGACAAUAGUAUUUUCUUUUUUUUUUUUUUCCUUUCUCUACUUCUGUUAAAUUGCUCUCCCAAAAUAAUCCUAAUGCUUUAUUUACUUCAGCUCUGGGUUUAUUUUGAGAUGAACUUUCCUGAAGCUGAGUCUUAGGAUGUGAUUCUUAUCCUGGUCACAUCCUGGGGAGUUGUUUUGUGACUUGUUUGAAUGGGCUCUGGCUUUUCCAGGGAGCCCCCUGGCAUCGAGGAAGAGGCCAGAGGAUGUCAACUCCCGUGUGCAGUACAAAGACAGAGAUGGCAAACCGUCAGCUUUGGGUGGAAGUGCUCCCCAGAGGAAAGCCUCGUCUCCUGGGCUCAUGCACGACAGACACUGGCAGAAGCAAACUCAGCUCAGACUUUUAUCAGUUAUCCGUUCCGGAGACUGAGGUGUCUCAUAGUUUCCAACAUCUGAGUGAUUUGUGAACGUUAGGAAUUCAGACGCUGGAUGAUUAAAACGGCCAGUGCUGGGAAUUUUCUCAUUUCAGGAAAUUUUGGUCGUGAGGCAUGCUGGAACCUCCCCAGCAGGCAGACCCGAAGGGCAGGAAGUCCAGACCGGGGGUGGGGAUGAGACUGUGAGAAUGGACCAGAAGGCGGGCGAGCCUUCACUAUCAUGUCAGACAGAUCUGUGUGGGAAUCCUGCUUCCCUGGGCCUCAGUUUCUUCACUGGCAAAAUGGGGAUGAUAAUAUCUACCUCACAGGAGUGUCGUGACCAUUAAAUCCGAUAAUGUCAUGCCUGGCACACAGUCAGGGCCCGGGGCAUGUGAAUUCCCCUCCGUUUCUAUAGGUGGAUGACAAGCGGUGGUGAGUGGUGCAUCCGAGCGGGAAGCUGGAGGUCAAGGGACUGGGGCUGACUCUUGGAGGUUGUGGGGGAAGGGGCUGGCCAAGCCAUGCGGGCUGUUGCAGUCAUGAGGCUCAGGGCAGGGUUUCAGUCCAAACUUUGAUCUGCAGGAGGAAGCUCCUACAGCCGCAGGUUGAUCCCGGGUCUAUCGUAUAAAGCGGCGGUUCUGGAAGUGUAGUCUGAGGGCCCCGGAGGAACCUGACACACAGUUCCUUUGCUACAGUAGCAAUCACUCUGGGACUCACCCCCGCGCUGCGCGUGCACAGUAAACAAAGAAAAAAACCAAAAGCCAGUUUUCAGAGUGUUGCUUGGUGAAGCAGUAAAAGUGACCACAUUUAUUAAAUGUCAACCUUGAGUACUUA